AACGAACGCUGGCGGCAGGCUUAACACAUGCAGGUCGAGCGCCUUGGCAACAAGGAGCGGCAGACGGGUGAGUAACGCGUGGGAAUCUACCCAUCUCUACGGAAUAACUCAGGGAAACUUGUGCUAAUACCGUAUACGCCCUUUGGGGGAAAGAUUUAUCGGAGAUGGAUGAGCCCGCGUUGGAUUAGCUAGUUGGUGGGGUAAAGGCCUACCAAGGCGACGAUCCAUAGCUGGUCUGAGAGGAUGAUCAGCCACAUUGGGACUGAGACACGGCCCAAACUCCUACGGGAGGCAGCAGUGGGGAAUAUUGGACAAUGGGCGCAAGCCUGAUCCAGCCAUGCCGCGUGAGUGAUGAAGGCCCUAGGGUUGUAAAGCUCUUUCACCGGAGAAGAUAAUGACGGUAUCCGGAGAAGAAGCCCCGGCUAACUUCGUGCCAGCCGCCGCAGUAA
rnacentral:rRNA from 1 species